AAAACAAGCAUUAAGUCGUAGGAAUCCCAAGUCGUCAUUAACAGAAAGAAAAAAAUGAAAAUGCCAAAGCAGAGAAGCUCCAGAUCAAGUCUUCAAAUGCAGGGAAAACCAGGAUGGACCACUGGAAUGCACAUACAUGCAUGAAUAUGCAAAACAACAACACGGUGCAAUGCAAAGCAGACCAUGAGUCAUUAAUGACUCUCAAUAAUCAGGCCGCGGCGCUGCAAGGGCGAUAAUCAUCGGCCGCCCGCUCUCCAAGUGAUAAGCUAAUCAGUCGUUCGUCUCCAGCGAGCCGACAAGGGGACUCAUCAUGGCUGACAUUUCAGAGCAGGAUGGAGCCCAAAGAGCCCAGCCUCAGAGGAGAGGGGCACCUGAAGUGACUUAAUUAUCACUGCUGCAGAAGGAGAUCCACUCAACCCUGUUUUACACUUUUUUUAACUCAAGGUUAACCUGGUUCUUCCAACAUUAUGGCUUCUCUGCUGCAUUUAGCGCCUGUUUCAGGGAGCGAGUGAAAACAGGAGACUGAACGGUUUCAGUUUUAUUUGUAUCCUUCAGGUGUUUCGAAACAAAGAGUAUCAGAGGUGUGAUCACACAAACAUAAACCCUUAGCAUUUCUGCUGUAUCUAAUCACAUCAUCACCAUGUCAGUCACAGAUCUGUUGGGAAAAGGCAGAAAGAGAAAAUUCUGCUGAAAGUUGCUUCAGAUGCCAGGAAAAACCAACGUUUGCAUUCACCUGCAUCUCCUCCGGCUGUGGUGGGUGAAAUGAGCGCCGAGGAUUUCUCCUCCUCCAACAAGACAGUUGUGUUGCUGCACGCUCAAAUUAAAUCAUAACCUGUGGGGAUGCUGUCACAAUAAUCUGACAGCUCUCAGACAACCGGAUGUAGCCAGCGUCUCAGCCGAGCGGCUGUCAUCCUUCCACCAACCUGUGCAGCCCAGCCUGCAGCAGCAUCACAGCCCUCAUGCUUCACACAAACAUGAGGAGGAAGGCUGGGUUCACAGCGAGGUCCCCAUCAAGGUCAAACCUUCACCCGGGAAAGAGAAGCGUUGGUCGCCGCUCCUCAUGCGACAGAUGCCGCUGCUGAACGCAGCGCGGCUCCCAGCCGCUUUGAUCUCUGAGGCGCGCCUCGGCGGAGCGACAGCGUGAGAGAUGACACGGCUCCAAUAUGACCCAUCUUCUGUUUCCUCUGUGACAAUUCGAGGACAGCUCCGACAGACGAUACGAGUUAAACCCAGGUGGAAGCAACAGUCGGGGCAGAUUUCUGCUGACAGUGAACAGGAAAACAGAUUUUUAUGCCAAUAUGUUCAGCAUGACUGGCUGCAGCCGUCUGCAGGAAGCGGAGGAAACACUGAAAACCUGACGAGUUUCAGCCGAGAUGCAUUGAUUAGACUUUAAUAGGGAAAAACUGUUUUCUGCUUUUACUUUGAAGGGAGAAAACACAAGCAGGCUUUUGUUUAAGCCGUUUGGAUUCAAUAACUGACCAUGAAGGGAAACUGAACUGCAGGGACUUUGAUAAGCUGCACUUUGAAAUCCAACAUUAAAUAAAUACAAACAAGAUUUUCCCAGUUAUGCAUCAGUGGAGAUGUCCAACUGUUAUGAUUUUACAUUUGACUCAACAAGUAACACUUUGUUGAUAAGUCAAAUGUCUGAUUUUGAUUCCUAUCUGAUUGGCUCAUUACCAAGUUUCAGCAACAACAGUGGCAUGUUAUUGUACAGAAGUCUGGAUGGGGCUGAACUAUUGCAGAAAAACAUUUUAGGAAGACAAAGAGGCUUCAUACUGGUGGAUAAAUUUACUGCUUCUCAGUAAAAAUGUGAUUUUUUUUACUGCAGUAGCAUAAUGUCAGACUGAAAUAUUUCAGAAAAUUCAACCUUAACUUUCAGUUUUUACUGUUUUUUUUCCCCACUGAACUGAGUCAGAAAUGGAAUAAUAUUGGCUUUAUGACGGCUGAAGGAUUUCUGUUGAUUCUAACAUGUUUCAGAUCAAUGCUGACAGACUCGGCUUGUUUCAGUUUCAAAUGAGCAGCUGCUGAUCUCUGGCUAACCUGCUGCCUUGCAGUUCGAAGGUCUUGGGUUCAAAUCCCCACCUGGCUUCUUUCCAGGUACUCCGGCUUCUUCACAAAGUCCAAAAGCACAACUGUGAGGUAAAUUGGUCUCUCAAGAUUGCAUUUAGGAGUGUGUGUGUGUGUGUGUGUGUGUGUGUGUGUGUGUGUGUGAGGGGGGGGGUGUAUGUGUGUGUUUGUUGCUCUAAUGGACAAGCGACCGGUCCAUAUUGGACCACGCCUCUCCUCCGAUCAAUGAUGCAGAUAAGCACCAAACGUUCCCAGGACCCUGAGAGGAUAAGCAGAUGAUGGAUGAUCUCUCAGGCCCACAGCAUCACAGAUCCUCCACCGUACUUAGAGGACACGUGGUUCUUUAUUAAAAUGUAAUAUUUAUCUUUGCGAGACUUCCAAACAACCUAGACCAGUACAAGGCAUCGGCUUUGGGGUUUUUUUAAACCUUCCUUACCAGCGUUCUCUCAUGUUUCCCAUUUUUAUUGGUGAUCAAGCAAAAAACAGGAAGUCAUGGAGAACUGACCAGACGUUUGACUCUGAACAUGUUUUAAAUGAACCUAAGUUGAUCAUUCUGUGCAGAAUCAACAGUUUCUGAGUUUCUCGCUGUGAGAUUUUCCAUCACUAUAAAAGUUUGAUUAAUUUUAAGGCUUUUCGUCACCAGGAGGGCAGCAAAUUUGCCUGGAUCUGAAAUACUGUGCAUGAUUUUAAAUGGUUCAGAUAUCAUGUAAUCACACCGAAAAUUACUGGUCAUUACUGAUGUAUUAACACGCCACAGGAUUCAUUUAUAACGUUUCUUUGACUCUUUUUGGCGCGUAGCAGCAGAACGGCAGAUAAUCGAUCAUUAUUGGUGCAGCUGCGAAACAUCUGUUGGUCAACAGGAAAACCAAAGUGAUCCACUUCACUUCUCCUAUUUUACUGAACGACUCAUGGUGCCGAUAAGGAACAUUUUGUAUGAGCCACCUAUGCCAUUUGUAUCCAAGUAUGACCUGCAUUUUCUUUAAUUAACCAUUUCAUUAUUAAGGCGGGAUUUCUAUAGAGAAGCCAGUAGAAGCGCAGCUCCCCAUCAUCACCCUGUUGCUCCGAUUUUCAUCAUUGUUCUAACGGGGAGUAAUCAGCUGCUGUCCCGUUUGACCGCACACGCGUCUCCCUCUGCAGGUAAACACAGACUGCAGGUCAGCCGUGCAUGAAGGGGUUUGUAGAGGCUCAGAGAGGAUUAGGUUUCCUGAGCAGUCACCUACCGACGGAAGCAGCCAGGAAUUAGGACAAAAACCACGCCACGCCUCGCAUGUCAAGACCCCAGCUGAAACUCAGCUGCGAUCUGGUGGAGGGAGAGCGGGAUCAGAAACUUUUACAGUCAGACAUCAGCCAGAGACGUGACUGUGAGCAUGAGCGGGGAAUGCGCGGCUGGAAAGUCCGGCGAUCAGCCGUGAUCCAGAGCGCGCGGCGCAGGAGGACUAAGCCUCCGCUGGUACCCAGCUCGGCUCGGUUCGGCUCGGUUCUGCUUACCUUGAGCAGCCAGAAUGAUCACCGCUGCCACCAUCCAGGCGUUCCGCCCCGGAGAGCGCGGGCAGCGCGCUGCGUAAUCUCUCGCCAUUCUUCUGCACUGGAGCUCAGCGCGUCCUCCUCCUGAUUCCGGACCGAGCGCAGAUCCUCUGAGUCUUAAUGACGGGCAGGAGCGCGACCCCUCCCCCGUGUGGCCCGGCCGCAGUGCGCACAGGUAGCCCGCGGCGGGUGCGAGUCUGGCGGAUAGCGUUGAGAGCAGCAGGCGGAGAACAAAGUGUGGACGGAGUGUGAGAGAGUCGCAGGAGCUCCGUGGGUUUGAUGCGCAGAGCUGAGUGGGGAACAUCCGAGUGAUGUCAGCAGAGCGUCACCAAGAGGACUUCAGCCGAAAAGCGGAGGAGAGGAGAGGAGAGGAGAGGAGAGGAGAGGAGAGGAGAGGAGAGGAGAGGAGAGGAGAGGAGAGGAGAGGAGAGGAGAGGCUAGGCUGCGGGAACAUGUCUCCUGUUCAGGUGGAGAUUCUCAUCAUCACUGAGAAAAUGUUUGGCUGAUUAACCGCAGACGUAAUGAUUUAUUAAACUAAACAGAAAUCUAGAACAGAUGCCAGUUGAACUAUUUUCUUCUCAACCCUCCUUUGUUUUUUAGUCCUACUUAGUUUUAAUUUCGAGACAAAUUGUAAUUUUACAGACUCGGUUUUGAUCCUCCAUACAAACAAAAUUAUCACAAAAAUAAUGCACAAGUGCCCCGUUUAAAAAUACAACAUGGAUAUAUUUUAUGUUUUAAUUAUAGUUGAAGAGAAAAUAAAACUGGCAGGACAGACCAAAUAAAACUGGAAUCACUGGUGCGUGUCCAGGUCUUUCUGGUCAAACUGGAGCCGACAUGGCUGAAAGGUUUAAGCUCAUAAACCUAAUUUAUUAAUCCCUUUUACUGUGAAACUAAACAGUGUUCCUAUUAAAAAUGGUUUUGCUUGUAAAAGUUUUGAGGUUGGUGCAAUUUUGUAUAUUUAAAAGGGAUUUUUGGGGGGGGCAAAAACAGACAAAAUAUUAAUCUGCGGUAGAAUUCCCUCAUCCCUCCAUUUUCUGCUCGGGGUCACCCGUUGACCCCGAGUCCCUGGACAUGGAGCACAUGCUUUAACAUUUUCUACUAUCUGAAGAGUUUACAGUUGGUGCCAUGUUUCCUUAUGUUGCAUGAGCCUCAGGAUAUGGAGGAGAGGAUGAAGGACUUAUUAUACCUGAUGAAGAUCAGGGGAACAUUUUACCAGCAUUUGUUUCCAGGUUGAAUAAAGGUCAAAGUAUCAAUUAUUCAUUUAUCUUAUCUUCAUCUUGAGAGAAAACAGUAAAACUGUUUAAAUCAACACAAGUUUUCCAUUCCUCUAUCAGAUCAGGAAAUAAGUCGUUUAAAGCUUCCUGGAGUCUUUUUAUUACUUCCACCAUUAGUCAUUUUAUAUAUUUUCAUUUUAAAUUACUAAUAGAGGUCCAAUAAAGCUGUUGUAUUUGGUCACCAAAUGUUCUCCAGAAAACAAAUCCAUGAAUUUCAGAAAUGAUCUUCCAUGCAGAACUCAAAUGAAAAGCCAUGAAUCUAAAGACAGGGUGGCUUCUAAAAGCUACAUUAAGAUUCAAUAUUAUCAUCGUACAUUAAAGGGUUUUCUGAACUUUGAUCCUCCUGUUAAAGUUCAUGCAGUUUGCAGGUUUAUCAGUAACAAAAUACUGACAGUCUGGGAUUCUGAUUUUUCUUGGUUUAUUUCAAAAUAAAACAUUUUAGGGAUAAAAAUGCUGGUUUUAAUAACCUCUCAUUAUGUUCUCAGACUACUGCCAGGCUUCCCAGGAAGUAGCUUCUACUUUAUUUUUGACCACCAAAGAUCAACGUGAUCGCUUAAAUUUUUUAUCAUUGCACAUAAUUGUGCUCUUCCAGUUCUCUAAGAUGAAGUAAACAUCCCUCUUAUCCCUGCUUGAGCAUUCGUAGAAUCGCUGAAAAGUUUCCUAAAAAGAUGCUUUGAUGUUUGUGGAAACCUUGGCAAAGGAAAUCUAAGCAGAGAUAAACCCGUCCGCCCUCAGAAGAAGACAAUGGGCGGGUUAAAAAUAGGCUUAUGGGAUAAAAAUGAACUAAUUAGUCAUAAAUUCAAAAGAGUAUAAUCCAGCACAAAUCCAAUGAAAUGGGAUGGAUAAAUUAUUUUUCUUUAAAUGUCAGGAGACGAUAGAAAUAUACUUAGUUCUGUUUAUUUUUACAGCCUCAGCAGACAUUUGAAAAGCCCGUUAUAAAGCCUCAUCUCAUAUUUAAGAGAUUAUUUCAUAUUUAGUCUUCAAAGAUGCUAAUGAUCCUUCUGAGAAGAUCUCAGGCUCUUGUCCCAGCACAGCUUUGUUCCUGUGGUACCAACGCAAAGUUAAAUCUGCAGAAAAGAAAAGUAAAUCUAAAAGCAUUCAGUAGAGCACUGAAUGUCUGGAGGUGGAGAAAAAUGUGAUUUUCAUGUUUUUAAAAAGGAGCAAAAGAGAAAAUGAGGUAAAUACACAAGUCCUGUUUGCAGUAAGUAAUACUUGCAUUUAUUAUUUGGUGAAAAACUUAAACGCAGAUCACAUUAAAUCUACAACCAGCAAAACUUUAAGUACAAUUCAGAGAAUUUCUCCAUUCAAACUGAUGAAGUUUGAACAAUUCUGCAAAAAAGAAUGAACAAAAGGAAGUAGAAAUAUACCCA